rnacentral:rRNA from 1 species
GUACACGCUGUGACUAGCAUAUCAAUAAGCGGAGGAAAAGAAACUAACUAGGAUUCCCUCAGUAACGGCGAGUGAAGCGGGAAGAGCUCAAAUUUGAAAUCUUCAAGGUUCUACCUUGACGAAUUGUAGUUUAAAGGAAGUGUUUUCUGUUGGAGUUUUGGUAAAAGUUCUUUGGAAUAGGACAUCAUAGAGGGUGAGAAUCCCGUAUUUGACCAUUAUUUUCAGCUGUGUGAUACACUUUCAAAGAGUCGGAUUGUUUGGGAAUGCAGUCCAAAAUGGGUGGUAAAUUUCAUCUAAAGCUAAAUACUGGCGAGAGACCGAUAGCGAACAAGUACCGUGAGGGAAAGAUGAAAAGAACUUUGAAAAGAGAGUUAAACAGUACGUGAAAUUGUCAAAAGGGAAGCGUUUGACACCAGUGUUGUUUUCUCGAAAAUCAAUUAAAAAAGGCAGGAUUUUGUGUUGUAUUGACUUUAUCAGCUUUCUGCACUCUUUUCUUGUCUUUUUUAAUGCACUUUUCGUUUAACAAGUCAACAUCAAUUUCUUUUGUUGUAAAAGGGUCAUUGGAAGGUGGCUUUCUUUUCGGAGAAAGUGUUUAUAGCCUUUGGCCUCUGCAAUCGGAGAGAUUGAGGUCUGCAGCGUAGAUCCUUCGGGGUUAGAUACAUUUGUGCUAAGUUAUAGCCUUUCAUAGACAACUUGUUGACUAUGAUCAGUCAUGUAGCUUACUCGCUUAUGCUAUUUUACCUACGCUUAGGAUGUUGAAGACUCUACAGAGAUA